rnacentral:rRNA from 1 species
AGCGAACGCUGGCGGCAGGCCUAACACAUGCAAGUCGAACGAAGUCUUCGGACUAGUGGCGGACGGGUGAGUAACACGUGGGAACGUGCCUUUAGGCUCGGAAUAACUCAGGGAAACUUGUGCUAAUACCGAAUGUGCCCUUCGGGGGAAAGAUUUAUCGCCUUUAGAGCGGCCCGCGUCUGAUUAGCUAGUUGGUGAGGUAAUGGCUCAGCAAGGCGACGAUCAGUAGCUGGUCUGAGAGGAUGACCAGCCACAUUGGGACUGAGACACGGCCCAAACUCCUACGGGAGGCAGCAGUGGGGAAUCUUGCGCAAUGGGCGAAAGCCUGACGCAGCCAUGCCGCGUGGAUGAUGAAGGUCUUAGGAUUGUAAAAUCCUUUCACCGGUGAAGAUAAUGACUGUAGCCGGAGAAGAAGCCCCGGCUAACUUCGUGCCAGCAGCCGCGGUAACAC